rnacentral:rRNA from 1 species
UACGUAGGUGGCAAGCGUUGUCCGGAUUUAUUGGGUUUAAAGGGUGCGUAGGCGGUCCUAUAAGUCAGUGGUGAAAUACGGCAGCUCAACUGUCGAGGUGCCAUUGAUACUGUAGGACUUGAGUUACAGACGAGGUAGGCGGAAUUGGACGGUGUAGCGGUGAAAUGCUUAGAUAUCGUCAAAGAACACCGAUAGCGAAGGCAGCUUACUAGACUGUAACUGACGCUGAGGCACGGAAAGUGUGGGGAUCAAAACAGG